CAGCUAUGAAGCUCCAGGACCUGGGAAGGGGCAACUGAGGAGGUCUCUUGACUGGUUUCCAGUUCCUCUUCAUUAUGGUUCUGAACAGCUGAACUUAGGCUCUGAAGUGCUAUUUUCCCAGUCUUCUCAGAAACAUGAUGACUUUAUCAGAGAUUAUGGAUGGAAGGCUCAAUUGUCACUGAGCUAGAUGGAGCCAGAAAUGACUUGGAUUUCAAGUAGAAUUGAAGAAUUUCUUUUGGAACCAAUGACAG
rnacentral:lncRNA from 1 species